rnacentral:rRNA from 1 species
AGCUCAUAGAGUGACUUAUUAGGAGUAAAGCCUGCCCGGUGAAGAAAGUAAUCUUUUAACGGCCGCAGUACUUUGACUGUGCUAAGGUAGCAUAAUCAAUUGUCUCUUAAUUAGGGACUGGAAUGAAAGGUUAUCUGGGGUUUAACUGUCUCAAAGAGAAAAGUCUAAUUUAUUUAGAAGGUGAAAAUCCCUUCACUCACACCUAAAAGACGAGAAGACCCUAAGAGUUUUAAUAACUAUAGCCCCAUCUGUAAGAGCUUUAUGUUUUUGUUGGGGCAACAAGGCAUCAAUAUUAGCUUCAGAUAAUAUGCCUAACUUUAUUUGAUAAUACAUAACGGAAUCAUCUCCUUUUUGGAUACAACUACCUUAGGGAUAACAGCGUAAUUUCCUAUGAAGAUUGCGACCUCGAUGUUGGACUAGGAACCUAAAUGGCUAAAAGCUAAUAUGGAUUGUUCUGUUCGAACAUUAGUAUUCCU